GACGAACGCUGGCGGCGUGCCUAAUACAUGCCAGUAGAACGCACAGUUUAUACCGUAGCUUGCUACACCAUAAACUGUGAGUUGCGAACGGGUGAGUAACGCGUAGGUAACCUGCCUGGUAGCGGGGGAUAACUAUUGGAAACGAUAGCUAAUACCGCAUAAUAUUGAUUAUUGCAUGAUAAUUGAUUGAAAGAUGCUAUUGCAUCACUACCAGAUGGACCUGCGUUGUAUUAGCUAGUAGGUGAGGUAACGGCUCACCUAGGCGACGAUACAUAGCCGACCUGAGAGGGUGAUCGGCCACACUGGGACUGAGACACGGCCCAGACUCCUACGGGAGGCAGCAGUAGGGAAUCUUCGGCAAUGGACGAAAGUCUGACCGAGCAACGCCGCGUGAGUGAAGAAGGUUUUCGGAUCGUAAAGCUCUGUUGUAAGAGAAGAACGGGUGUGAGAGUGGAAAGUUCACACUGCGACGGUAUCUUACCAGAAAGGGACGGCUAACUACGUG
rnacentral:rRNA from 1 species